AGUACACAGCCACAGAGUGCACACACUCUUAUGAAUCUGUUUUGAAUACAUUCCCAGUCAUGUUUCUCCGUAAAUAAGUGGCUGAGACGGUCAAACAUGCAAAAAGAAA